rnacentral:lncRNA from 1 species
UCACGGCCCGCAUGUUCAAGGCCCAACCCGUUGGAUUGAUCAUGCUAGACCUCUUGGCCCACAUGUCCAGAUUCGUUGUACAGUAGUAGGUAGACUACGGUUGGUGGCUGUAGUUGGUAGAUGCCAGUAGGUGACAUUGUAUCUUGGCCACCUACCAUGAUGGUAGGUGGGAUAGGGAAUGUAUAUAAGGAGGAUGUCACAUUGUGAAUCCUCACCUCACAACUUGUAAAGCAUUGAGUAGCAAUACAAGCAUAUAUUCUCCCAAACGUUCUUAAGCGUUCUUAUUGUGUUCUUGCUCUUGCGAUUGUUCUUUGCUUGUUUCGAUCUUGUAUUGUAGGAAGGAGGCUGACUUAGCUUGUUCGAGAGGCGAUCAAGUCUAAGGCCGCACGGAAGGAAGACUCCGAAAAAGUCAUCCCGUGACAGUUGGUAUCAGAGCAAAAGCUCAAAUCAUUCAAAGAAGCAUGUCGAAGAGCGGAUCAGAUGUGGAGACAGACCUGUCCAAGGUCAACAUGGAUCGUGGGGGCAAAUCAAAGAGGGAACGAUCUAGAGAUGUGGUGGCCAUGAUGGAGAAGCGGCUUUCUAAGAUGGAGAUUGCCGUGGUCGAGUUCGAUCAACGACUAGAGGAGGAUGUCCUUACGAAGGGGGGCUUCGAAGCUGUAGUGGAUGAGUUUCAAGGCCAAUUCCAGGGAGUCCUCAACUCCGCGCUAGAUGGCAUCAAACUAGAUGUUCAAGCCAAGCUGGAUCACUUCUUAGCGGAGCUUACUUCGCUUCGUGAUGAGAUGAAGGAUGUGAAGGGAGAUUGGGCUUUGUGCAAGGAAGCUGUCUUGAACAAGACCCGAACUCCGAAGGAACCGAAGGUGCUAGAUUCUUUCAAGCCCAAAUCCUAUAAUGGGAAGAGGGAGGCGAAGGAGCUGGACACUUUCUUGUGGAAUAUCGAAAGGUAUUUCAAGUAUCUGAAGCUCGAGGAUGAUGAGCCCAAGAUCAAUGCGGCAACGUUGUUUCUCACCGACAAUGCUCUCAUGUGGUGGCGUCGUCGAUCUAUGGAGAUCGAACAAGGUACGUUUACACUUGAGACUUGGGACGAUUUUAAGAAGGAUAUUAUGUCGCAUUUCUAUCCAGAGAAUGCCAAGUAUGAGGCAAAGGAGAAGCUAAGAUGGCUGAAGCAAACUGGGAGCGUGAAGGACUAUGUAGCCACGUUCACCAACCUGUUGUUCAAGGUGCCUAGCAUGACAGAUAAAGACAAGCUCAUGUACUUCAUGAGUGGCCUACAGAAUUGGGCAAAGCUGGAGUUACAAAGGAGACACGUCCAAACCUUGUCAGAGGCGAUUGCUGCAGCUGAGUCUCUUGUUGAGUUCAAGAGAAGUAGUCAAGGCGACUCCAAGUUCAAAGGAAAGAAAGGCAACAGUGGAUCCGGUGGGGGAGACAACAAGCCAAAAGAGGGUAGCAAGUCAGGAGACAAGUCUGACAGUCACAAGUCAUCCUGGAAGAAGAAUGACAAAGGUGACAAAGGGAAAGACAAGUCGAAGCUAGCUUGCUACUUGUGCGAGGGAGCGCACAUGAUGCGGGAUUGUCCGAAGAAGAAAGCUCUGAAUGCUAUGAACUAAGAGAAGGGGGAGGAGGCCGAGAGGGAAGCAGGAAUGGGGGCCAUUCGCCGCUUCAAUGCCUUGCAGGCCAAAGGAGCUCAACCACAGGUUUAAGCGAAAGGAGUGAUGUUCGUCGAUGCCAUGGUGAAUGGCAAGACAACCCGUUGCCUAGUGGAUACCGGUGCUUCGCACAACUUUAUGUCCGUGCAGGAAGCAAAGAGACUUGGGUGUCGAGUCUCGAAGGAAGCAGGCAGUAUGAAGACGGUGAAUUCAACUGCCAAGCCCAUUGAUGGAGUAGCUCGUGGUGUGGAGCUACACAUUGCCACUUGGAAGGGAGUAGCUGACUUCUCCGUGAUCUCGAUGGAUGACUACGAUGUCGUGCUAGGAAUGGAGUUCAUGGACAAGGUAAAGGCAUUUCCCAUUCCAUUUUACAAUACUAUGUGCAUUGCACAGGGUGGAGCAAUGCCAUGCAUGGUGCCGGUAGUGAGGCAACAAAGCGAGACGAAGCUUUUGUCAGCCAUGCAAUUUUCCAAGUCUUGGAAGAAGGGCGAACCGACGUUCCUUGCAACUAUGAAGAUGGAAAUAGUUGAGAAGGAAGUCCAACCAGUCCCGAAAGCUGUGGAGGCAAUCCUUAAGGAGUUUGCAGAUGUCAUGCCCAAGGAGUUGCCCAAAACCUUACCACCUAGGAGAGAGGUGGAUCAUGCCAUUGAGUUGGAAUCGGGUGCCAAACCCCCUGCCAAAGCGCCGUACCAGAUGGCACCUCCUAAGUUGGAGGAAUUGAGGAAGCAGUUGAAGCAGUUGUUGGACGCGGGUUACAUCCAACCGUCCAAGGCCCCCUAUAGUGCCCCAGUUCUUUUCCAGAAGAAGAGGGAGGGAACACUGAGGUUGUGUAUCGACUACAGGGCGCUAAACAAGGUGACCAUCAAAAACAAGUAUCCAAUCCCUUUGAUUGCAGAUUUGUUUGAUCAGUUGGGAGGAGCGAAGUACUUCACCAAGUUGGACUUGCGCUCUGGAUACUAUCAAGUGAGGAUCGCACCGGGAGAUGAAUCGAAGACCGCAUGUGUGAUAAGAUAUGGGUCUUACGAGUUCCUGGUCAUGCCGUUCGGCUUGACUAAUGCCCCUGCAACAUUUUGCACUCUUAUGAACAAGGUAUUCCAUCCUUUCUUGGACAAGUUUGUUGUGGUUUACAUCGAUGAUAUUGUGGUGUACAGCAAUUCUCUGGAGGAACACCUUAAGCAUUUACAGAAGGUCUUCCAAGUUCUAAGGGAGAACCAGCUCUAUGUGAAGAGGGAGAAGUGCUCAUUUGUCCAAGAAGAGGUUGAGUUCCUUGGUCACAAGAUACGGGGAGGACAAUUGCUCAUGGAGGAGGGCAAGGUGCGAGCCAUUCAAGAGUGGGAACCGCCAAUCAAGGUACCUGAGUUGCGGUCUUUCCUUGGAUUGGUGAACUACUAUCGCAGGUUCAUCAAGGGAUAUUCAGCCAUAGCCGCCCCCUUGACGGACUUGCUAAAGAAGAAUAAGACGUGGGAGUGGACACCCCGAUGUCAGCAUGCCUUCGAUGAGUUGAAGAGGGCUCUUAUGGAGGAACCAGUGCUGAGACUUCCGGAUCUUAGCAAACCUUUUGAGGUACACACUGAUGCAUCAGAUUUUGCUAUUGGUGGUGUACUCAUGCAGGAUGGACACCCAUUGGCUUUCGAGAGUCGGAAGCUCAAUGACACGGAGCGGAGGUAUACCGUUCAAGAGAAGGAGAUGACAGCCGUAGUGCACUGCUUGCGGACUUGGAGGCACUACUUACUUGGUUCUCAGUUCGUGGUCAAGACUGACAAUAUUGCCACAAGCUACUUUCAGUCCCAACAGAAGUUGUCACCCAAGCAGGCUAGGUGGCAAGACUUCUUGGCGGAGUUUGACUACAAACUGGAGUAUAAGCAAGGGAAGACGAAUGUCGUUGCCGAUGCCUUAAGCAGGAAGACCAUACUAGCAGCUGUCACUCAACCCCAGAGUUCUCUCAUGCAGAGGAUACGAGAGGGCUUGUUGCAUGAUCCCCAAGCCAAAAGUCUAUUGGAGCUUGUCAAAGAUGGGAAGACAAGAAGAUUUUGGCCCGAUGAUGGGGUUCUCUAUGCAACAGGGAAGAGGAUCUAUGUUCCAAGGUGGGACAAUCUGAGGCGAGAGCUACUGAAGGAGUGUCAUGACUCGAAGUGGGCAGGACAUCCGGGCACUCAUCGGACAUUAGCCUUGAUGAGUGAAGCUUACUAUUGGCCACAGAUGCGGGAAGAUGUAGACUCGUUCGUGCGGACUUGUCUUGUAUGUCAACAAGACAAGACAUUGCAGAAGCAGCCGGGUGGGUUGCUAGAGCCACUUCUUGUUCCAACCAGACCAUGGGAGAGUUUGUCCAUGGACUUCAUUGUGAGUCUACCCAAGUCGGAAGGGUGUGGCUCAAUUUUGGUGGUGGUCGACAGGUUCACCAAGUAUGCUACCUUCAUCCCCGCACCGACAGAUUGCAAUGCGGAGGAAGCUGCACGCUUGUUUCUGAAGCAUGUGGUGAAGUUUUGGGGGAUCCCCAAGAGUAUUAUCAGUGAUCGUGACACUCGCUUCACUGGUAAACUUUGGACGGAGCUCUUCAGGCUACUUGGCUCACAGUUGAACUUCUCUACCAGCUUUCACCCGCAGACAGAUGGUCAGACGGAGAGGGUGAAUGCACUAUUGGAGCUAUACUUGAGGCACUAUGUGAGUGCCAACCAGCGAGAUUGGGCAAAGUUGUUGGAUAUUGCUCAGUUCUCAUACAACUUGCAGCGGUCGGAGUCGACAGGGUCAAGUCCUUUUGAGUUGGCAACAGGACAACAACCUAUAACACCGAACACAGUGGUGUCAGGCUACACGGGGAGUAGCCCUGCUGCAUACAAGACAGCCAAGGAGUGGCAGGUGACUAAUGAGCUGGCUCGGGUUCAAUUGGAGAAGGCAACUCGGAAGAUGAAGAAAUGGGCGGACAAGCAUCGGCGGGACGUUGUGUUCCAACCAGGUGAUCUGGUCUUUGUGAAGCUCAACCCUUCUCAACACAAGUCCACUAGAAGAUUGCACAAGGCUUUGUUGAGAAGAUAUGAGGGUCCAUUUCCUAUCAUCCGAUCAGUGGGAAGAGCUGCUUACCGUGUGGAACUACCACCUCGAUUGAAGAUUCAUCCGGUGUUCCACGUGAGCAAUCUCAAGCCCUACCAUGCCGACCCCGAGGAGCCAAGUCGUGGAGAGUCUCAACGAGCUCCACCUUUGAUGGUGACUUCAUUUGACAAGGAGGUUGAGUGCGUCAUGGCCAAGCGAGAGGUACGACGCAAGGGUAUACCGAGUUACUUUGAGUACUUUGUCAAAUGGAAGGGCCUGCCAGAGUCCGAAGGCAAUUGGGAGAAAGAAGAGUCCUUGUGGAAGUAUAAGGACAUCAUCGAAGCAUUCGAACGAGACGGAUCUACCACGGCAACGAGGACGUUACCGGAUUAGGUGGGGGAGAAUGUCACGGCCCGCAUGUUCAAGGCCCAACCCGUUGGAUUGAUCAUGCUAGACCUCUUGGCCCACAUGUCCAGAUUCGUUGUACAGUAGUAGGUAGACUACGGUUGGUGGCUGUAGUUGGUAGAUGCCGGUAGGUGACAUUGUAUCUUGGCCACCUACCAUGAUGGUAGGUGGGAUAGGGAAUGUAUAUAAGGAGGAUGUCACAUUGUGAAUCCUCACCUCACAACUUGUAAAGCAUUGAGUAGCAAUACAAGCAUAUAUUCUCCCAAACGUUCUUAAGCGUUCUUAUUGUGUUCUUGCUCUUGCGAUUGUUCUUUGCUUGUUUCGAUCUUGUAUUGUAGGAAGGAGGCUGACUUAGCUUGUUCGAGAGGCGAUCAAGUCUAAGGCCGCACGG